UGAGGGAAAAAUCUUAGAGAUCACAUGACUAACUUCCAGGAUGUCAAAAGAAUGUGGAGUCUAAGACAACCCAUUGUGUUGCUUAAGUUGGUAGCUUCACACAGUUUUACACGGUCUGUUAGCCCACAUGUAAACUUCAAAACAUGCAAUUUGGAUUCAGUAAACAUGACCAUGGUAGCACAUUAUAUGGUGCAAAAAU
rnacentral:lncRNA from 1 species